rnacentral:tRNA from 1 species
CCCACUAUAGUUUAUUUAUAAAACAUUGAAUUGCAAAUUCGAAAAAGGAACUUAAUUUCCUAGUGAGU